rnacentral:rRNA from 1 species
ACUAAGCGUACACGGUGGAUGCCCUGGCAGUCAGAGGCGAUGAAGGACGUGCUAAUCUGCGAUAAGCGUCGGUAAGGUGAUAUGAACCGUUAUAACCGGCGAUUUCCGAAUGGGGAAACCCAGUGUGAUUCGUCACACUAUCAUUAACUGAAUCCAUAGGUUAAUGAGGCGAACCGGGGGAACUGAAACAUCUAAGUACCCCGAGGAAAAGAAAUCAACCGAGAUUCCCCCAGUAGCGGCGAGCGAACGGGGAGCAGCCCAGAGCCUGAAUCAGUGUGUGUGUUAGUGGAAGCGUCUGGAAAGGCGUGCGAUACAGGGUGACAGCCCCGUACACAAAAAUGCACAUAUUGUGAGCUCGAUGAGUAGGGCGGGACACGUGGUAUCCUGUCUGAAUAUGGGGGGACCAUCCUCCAAGGCUAAAUACUCCUGACUGACCGAUAGUGAACCAGUACCGUGAGGGAAAGGCGAAAAGAACCCCGGCGAGGGGAGUGAAAAAGAACCUGAAACCGUGUACGUACAAGCAGUGGGAGCACGCUUAGGCGUGUGACUGCGUACCUUUUGUAUAAUGGGUCAGCGACUUAUAUUCUGUAGCAAGGUUAACCGAAUAGGGGAGCCGAAGGGAAACCGAGUCUUAACUGGGCGUUAAGUUGCAGGGUAUAGACCCGAAACCCGGUGAUCUAGCCAUGGGCAGGUUGAAGGUUGGGUAACACUAACUGGAGGACCGAACCGACUAAUGUUGAAAAAUUAGCGGAUGACUUGUGGCUGGGGGUGAAAGGCCAAUCAAACCGGGAGAUAGCUGGUUCUCCCCGAAAGCUAUUUAGGUAGCGCCUCGUGAAUUCAUCUCCGGGGGUAGAGCACUGUUUCGGCAAGGGGGUCAUCCCGACUUACCAACCCGAUGCAAACUGCGAAUACCGGAGAAUGUUAUCACGGGAGACACACGGCGGGUGCUAACGUCCGUCGUGAAGAGGGAAACAACCCAGACCGCCAGCUAAGGUCCCAAAGUCAUGGUUAAGUGGGAAACGAUGUGGGAAGGCCCAGACAGCCAGGAUGUUGGCUUAGAAGCAGCCAUCAUUUAAAGAAAGCGUAAUAGCUCACUGGUCGAGUCGGCCUGCGCGGAAGAUGUAACGGGGCUAAACCAUGCACCGAAGCUGCGGCAGCGACACUAUGUGUUGUUGGGUAGGGGAGCGUUCUGUAAGCCUGUGAAGGUGUACUGUGAGGUAUGCUGGAGGUAUCAGAAGUGCGAAUGCUGACAUAAGUAACGAUAAAGCGGGUGAAAAGCCCGCUCGCCGGAAGACCAAGGGUUCCUGUCCAACGUUAAUCGGGGCAGGGUGAGUCGACUCCUAAGGCGAGGCCGAAAGGCGUAGUCGAUGGGAAACAGGUUAAUAUUCCUGUACUUGGUGUUACUGCGAAGGGGGACGGAGAAGGCUAUGUUGGCCGGGCGACGGUUGUCCCGGUUUAAGCGUGUAGGCUGGUUUUCCAGGCAAAUCCGGAAAACUAAGGCUGAGGCGUGAUGACGAGGCACUACGGUGCUGAAGCAACAAAUGCCCUGCUUCCAGGAAAAGCCUCUAAGCAUCAGGUAACAUCAAAUCGUACCCCAAACCGACACAGGUGGUCAGGUAGAGAAUACCAAGGCGCUUGAGAGAACUCGGGUGAAGGAACUAGGCAAAAUGGUGCCGUAACUUCGGGAGAAGGCACGCUGAUAUGUAGGUGAAGUCCCUCGCGGAUGGAGCUGAAAUCAGUCGAAGAUACCAGCUGGCUGCAACUGUUUAUUAAAAACACAGCACUGUGCAAACACGAAAGUGGACGUAUACGGUGUGACGCCUGCCCGGUGCCGGAAGGUUAAUUGAUGGGGUCAGCGCAAGCGAAGCUCUUGAUCGAAGCCCCGGUAAACGGCGGCCGUAACUAUAACGGUCCUAAGGUAGCGAAAUUCCUUGUCGGGUAAGUUCCGACCUGCACGAAUGGCGUAAUGAUGGCCAGGCUGUCUCCACCCGAGACUCAGUGAAAUUGAACUCGCUGUGAAGAUGCAGUGUACCCGCGGCAAGACGGAAAGACCCCGUGAACCUUUACUAUAGCUUGACACUGAACAUUGAGCCUUGAUGUGUAGGAUAGGUGGGAGGCUUUGAAGUGUGGACGCCAGUCUGCAUGGAGCCGACCUUGAAAUACCACCCUUUAAUGUUUGAUGUUCUAACGUUGACCCGUAAUCCGGGUUGCGGACAGUGUCUGGUGGGUAGUUUGACUGGGGCGGUCUCCUCCUAAAGAGUAACGGAGGAGCACGAAGGUUGGCUAAUCCUGGUCGGACAUCAGGAGGUUAGUGCAAUGGCAUAAGCCAGCUUGACUGCGAGCGUGACGGCGCGAGCAGGUGCGAAAGCAGGUCAUAGUGAUCCGGUGGUUCUGAAUGGAAGGGCCAUCGCUCAACGGAUAAAAGGUACUCCGGGGAUAACAGGCUGAUACCGCCCAAGAGUUCAUAUCGACGGCGGUGUUUGGCACCUCGAUGUCGGCUCAUCACAUCCUGGGGCUGAAGUAGGUCCCAAGGGUAUGGCUGUUCGCCAUUUAAAGUGGUACGCGAGCUGGGUUUAGAACGUCGUGAGACAGUUCGGUCCCUAUCUGCCGUGGGCGCUGGAGAACUGAGGGGGGCUGCUCCUAGUACGAGAGGACCGGAGUGGACGCAUCACUGGUGUUCGGGUUGUCAUGCCAAUGGCACUGCCCGGUAGCUAAAUGCGGAAGAGAUAAGUGCUGAAAGCAUCUAAGCACGAAACUUGCCCCGAGAUGAGUUCUCCCUGACUCCUUGAGAGUCCUGAAGGAACGUUGAAGACGACGACGUUGAUAGGUCGGGUGUGUAAGCGCAGCGAUGCGUUGAGCUAACCGGUACUAAUGAACCGUGAGGCUUAACC